rnacentral:misc_RNA from 1 species
GUUCUGAAUCUGAAACAUUUACGUCAACUCGUGGAAGAUGGUAACCAAAAGAACGUGAGAUUCGAUUUGGAUGAUGAGAGGGUGAUUGUUUUGAACUAUGAAUCCGCAAGAAUAGCCACAUCGCGAAUAUUGAAACGCCACAGAAUACCUCAUGCCAUGUCUAUCGAUCUCACUGAUGAGCAAAAUGCAGCUGAACUUCUGUCAGCUUGCUGAACCUAAUUUUGUAUACCAGUCGAACCUCUCUAUUAUGAUAUCGUUUGCUGUUAUAGAAUAUGAUUGUUACAGAGAAGUCGGAUUGUACUCUUCACUAUUCUUUCCAAAUUUUU